CAGACUGUGACAGCGGGGUUGGUGAGGUUGAUCCUUAUAAAGGUGGUGGGCUGCUGGGUGGCUCUGCUGAUGAUACGAUUUGCUUUGGAGAUUGAGAUGCCUUGUUUUUCCAGUUCUUCUUUUAUUUCUUCGGUGUCUGUCUCAGUGUGGAUCCCCUUGAUUAUCAGCUGUUUGGUUUGUUGUUGAGUGGUGGCUGGUGUGGCUUUUCUUGCCGGGCCAUAUGUAAUUUUUGAGUGCUGGAAUGAGUCUUAGGGCUAGGGGGAGAGAAGGGAGUUUACAGAGUGUAUAUUAUUUGUGAAAAUAUGAAUGCCUCCUCUCUUCAUGCGGACUAACUUUUUAAUUGAGAUGUCUGGUGUGCAUCGGAUGAGUUCUUCAAAGAUGGAUUUGUUAGUGGUAAAGAUGCUGUGCUUUAUGUUGUCUAUGACUACUGGUAUGAGUGAAGGGGUGUUGGGUGAAUUUGUAUAUUCGUGAUCCUUUCUUGUUCUCUUCCUGUGGUUGGAGCUGAAGUAUUCACUGUAUUUGUCUUUGUUUCGGAUGACGGUCUCUGCAAAGGUGGGGGGGUGCAGUGUAUUUCCAUUGGGGUGCAUCAGGGUUGUUCUCAUAAAUCCAAUAGUGUUUUGGAGUUGUUGAAUGAAGUGGGCAAGUGGCGUUGAUAUGAUAUUUUUAUCGAGUUCUGUGAAGAGCUGUUGAAUUUUAUCCAGUAGUGUUGCUAGGACCUAUGUUUCUGCAGAGGUGUCGGGUUGGGGGGUUGCUGCUUUAGUGGUGGUGGUUGGGUUGAUAAGGGGGGGUGCUGGUGUGUCCUUUAGUGCUUUGGUCCCUUGUGGUUUGUGACUGUUCUUUGGUGGUGCGGUGGCUCCCUCUGGUGGUGUGCUGGGCUGUAGUGAAUCCAGUUCCUUGAGGGUUUCUUUGAUGAAGCUGUCCACUGAGAGGGAUCGAUUUUGGAUUUGAUGGUUAGCUGCUCGCGGCGGUGCUGGUGUGGGUCUUUAGGGUGUUGUGUAGGUGGUGGUUUGGGCUGACUAGUUUUCUGCUGGCUGUCUUGUAGUUGUUUUGAUGCUGGUUUGGUCCUGUUGUGGUCUUUUGGUUGGUGCUUUUCAGGUUUGAGGGGAUGGAGAUGUUUUUGGAUGGGUCUUGACUUUUUCCUUAUAUUGAGUUUCUCCUUGUUUUAUGUGGUGCAAAUGUUGAGGACCAUACAUGCUGCAUCUCCUCCUUCGAUAGGGGUCCAGUAGCCAUUAUAGUGAGUGGUUGAUGUAUGUAUGAUUGUUAUGUGUUUGAUAUGGGUAAAGAUAAUGAAAAGGACAAAUAAAUAUAAAAUAAAAAUAAUAAAAUUGAAUAUAUAUAUAUCUAAAUAAAAAUAGGUAAACUACCAAGUGGCUUUUCAAAAGCAAAAAGUAAAAGAAAAAAUAAAAUAUAUUCAUGUAAAACAAGUGAAUGUCAGUGGAUGUCAGGGGUAGUGUGGUGGUGUAGUGCAAGUAGUGUGGGGUGGACGCAAUGAGGAAGUAAAAAUUUGUGUGAACAAAAAAUUUGGUUGAGUAUAAUAAAGUGCUUGGUGUUAUUAUGUAAGUGAAUGUGUCGGAGUGUAGUGACUUUGUUCAGAACAUAUUGCCUGUGUUGACUUAAAAUAAAUUAAAAAAUAGAUUAAGAUUUAAAGACCGCUUAUCCGUCCCUUCGUGGGUUCCUCCCAAGGGGCCAACUCUGAGGCUGAGAAAUGCAGUUCACUAAAUGCCCGCUUGAGGCUGGCUCCAGAAAGGAGCAAAUCCCCAUAGUGCCCCAUGUUAAAAUGCACAACUGUACAGCAGAAUUAAACAUGUUCGCAGCCUGGUACAAAAAAUGGUUUUGGUCCCAAUGGCCAAUUCCUCCUCUUCGCGACAAGGGGGGGGUGGUUAUUACUCACUCAUUUAUAUUAUAUUAAGGUUUGAAAUUCUGCAUAAUUAAGGGCGUGGAUACUUGAGUGACCGGUGACAUCGCUGUUCGCUCAUCGCUCGGUGGUGGCUACCCGCUGGCAGCGCUAGCUGUCACGUGAGCUAAUCCCCGGUCAUUGAACGUGACUUCUCGACUGUGGUGUCAGAGCCUUGCGGAGAACAUUUCAAGCAAGUACUGGAUGAAUAAUACGCCUGCUCUGCGGUCAGUUGUCCCAACACAGAAGUCCAAGAAGCUUGUGCUCCUGUUUUUUCGGGAAGGACCUGCCUGAAGGACUUCACUGUGCUGACCCUGUUCUAUCUCUAAGGGUUGUCGUCACCACAGUGGAUGAUGUGGACGUCAGCUGCAGCUCUUCCUUACAGGGUGGAAACAGAGGGGAAGAAGGCUUUUCCACCACAGUCCACCAGCCAAACAUAGCACUCCAAGGUCUGCAGCUCUCUGGACACCUCGGUGGACAAACUCAUUACCACGUUCACAUUGUGACUGUAGGAUUAAAAUGAAUAAAUGAGUGAUAUAUGCGAAGUCCACUAAAGGGUGUAGCUCACAUUUUAAUGUUGACAACACUGUUAUGUCACAUCUGUAGGAUAAAAUGGAACUAAAGAGCUACAUCUCAGAAUAUAGAUGACAGUCUCUAAUACUUUAU